UACGGAGGGUGCGAGCGUUGUCCGGAAUCACUGGGCGUAAAGGGCGCGUAGGCGGCCUGAUAAGUCGGGGGUGAAAUCCUGCGGCUUAACCGCAGGGCUGCCUUCUAAACUGUCAGGCUCGAGCACAGUAGAGGCAGGUGGAGUUCCCGGUGUAGCGGUGGAAUGCGUAGAGAUCGGGAAGAACACCGGUGGCGAAGGCGGUCUGCUGGGGUGAUGCUGACACUGAUGCGCGACAGCGUGGGGAGCAAACAGG
rnacentral:rRNA from 1 species